rnacentral:rRNA from 1 species
ACUCCUACGGGAGGCAGCAGUAGGGAAUCUUCCACAAUGGGCGCAAGCCUGAUGAAGCAACACCGCGUGAGUGAAGAAGGGUUUCGGCUCGUAAAGCUCUGUUGUUAAAGAAGAACACGUAUGAGAGUAACUGUUCAUACGUUGACGGUAUUUAACCAGAAAGUCACGGCUAACUACGUGCCAGCAGCCGCGGUAAUACGUAGGUGGCAAGCGUUAUCCGGAUUUAUUGGGCGUAAAGAGAGUGCAGGCGGUUUUCUAAGUCUGAUGUGAAAGCCUUCGGCUUAACCGGAGAAGUGCAUCGGAAACUGGAUAACUUGAGUGCAGAAGAGGGUAGUGGAACUCCAUGUGUAGCGGUGGAAUGCGUAGAUAUAUGGAAGAACACCAGUGGCGAAGGCGGCUACCUGGUCUGCAACUGACGCUGAGACUCGAAAGCAUGGGUAGCGAACAGGAUUAGAUACCCUGGUAGGAUAGCG